rnacentral:rRNA from 1 species
AUUGAACGCUGGCGGCAUGCUUUACACAUGCAAGUCGUACGGGGUAGCCGGGCAACUGGCUGUCUAGUGGCGAACGGGUGAGUAAUCGAUCGGAACGUAUCCGGGCGUGGGGGAUAACUACUCGAAAGAGUAGCUAAUACCGCAUAUGCUCUGAGGAGGAAAGCGGGGGACCUUCGGGCCUCGCGCGCGCGGAGCGGCCGAUCGCCGAUUAGCUAGUAGGUGAGGAAUGGCUCACCUAGGCCACGAUCGGUAGCGGGUCUGAGAGGAUGAUCCGCCACACUGGGACUGAGAUACGGCCCAGACUCCUACGGGAGGCAGCAGUGGGGAAUUUUGGACAAUGGGCGCAAGCCUGAUCCAGCCAGGCCGCGUGAGUGAAGAAGG